GAUGAACGCUGGCGGCGUGCCUAAUACAUGCAAGUCGAACGCACAGCGAAAGGUGCUUGCACCUUUCAAGUGAGUGGCGAACGGGUGAGUAACACGUGGACAACCUGCCUCAAGGCUGGGGAUAACAUUUGGAAACAGAUGCUAAUACCGAAUAAAACUCAGUGUCGCAUGACACAAAGUUAAAAGGCGCUUUGGCGUCACCUAGAGAUGGAUCCGCGGUGCAUUAGUUAGGUGGUGGGGUAAAGGCCUACCAAGACAAUGAUGCAUAGCCGCGUUGAGAGACUGAUCGGCCACAUUGGGACUGGGACACGGCCCAAACUCCUACGGGAGGCUGCAGUAGGGAAUCUUCCACAAUGGGCGAAAGCCUGAUGGAGCAACGCCGCGUGUGUGAUGAAGGCUUUCGGGUCGUAAAGCACUGUUGUAUGGGAAGAACAGCUAGAAUAGGGAAUGAUUUUAGUUUGACGGUACCAUACCAGAAAGGGACGGCUAAAUACGUGCCAGCCGCCGCCGUAA
rnacentral:rRNA from 1 species